GCCGGGGUGGCGAAACCAGGCAUCCGCGUCCGAUUCAAAAUCGGAUGCCCGUAAGGGCGUGCGGGUUCGAAUCCCGCCCCCGGCACCA
rnacentral:tRNA from 1 species